AUAUACUUAACAAAUCUCGAGUCUUGACCCCCCAAGAUUUGAGUCGAAUUCGCUCUCUGGGACCAGUAGGGGUCAGGCCAACAACAGCAAACAAAACAAUUGUGGUGUUCAACAUUCUUCUUCUUGUUCAAGAUUUUGACUGGAAAAUUGACAACUUCAAAUCAAACGAUUCCAAUGUAUCAACCGUUAUCAGAUCGGAGUUAAUGCAUAAUCUUGAACAUUUUCUCAUCUGAAGGAGAAAGGCAUUGGGAUCCGUUUAAUGGCUCGGAUCUUCGAGUACUUCGUAGUAUGUGGAAUCGGGCCAGAGAUUCGGACCUUGGAUGGGAACAGAGGGUACCAUGGCGCAGGGGUUAUGUAUUUGCCUUCUCUUCUUGAUCAGUACCCUCCUCCCAAUCACACUCUCUACCCUCCUCCUCCCCCUCAACUCCCUACUUGUGUUCUACCUGCUGGAGUGGAAUUCUACGGGUCGGGUUUUGAUUCAAAUGAUCCAUCUACUUUUCCCAGGAGUUAUCCUAUUGUUUUGACUGAGGGUGAUGGGUCAAAGAUCUAUGUCAGCUGCAUCGCAUUUCGGGAUCCUGUUUGCGAGGAUAUUGCUGAAGCUUACCGCAUUCCUGCAAAUUCAUAUGCUGACAAAUGCAUCUGUCUUGUCUCACGUUCUCCCAGUUUUGGAAUCCUUCGAGAUGCACUGGAGGAGAUUUUUGUGCUUUGUUUUUCCUCCUCUGGAAGCAGCAAGCCAUUGUGGGAUGUUAUAGCAUAUUCAGUCUCCAAUGUACCUUUGCCUACACCUGGAAAGGAUAGGGUGCUAUUUGCUAUUGAGAACAGCCUGCUCUCUGUUGAAGUUCCACCAAAGGAGGGCCUUCCUCAUGCCGAUAUAUCAUUUCAGCCUUUGCUUCAGUGUUUGGAUGUGGACAAUGUAAUCCAGUUAUUUACAGCUGUUUUGCUUGAGAGAAGGAUUUUGCUUCGAUCGAACAUGUAUUCUCUGUUAACACUUGUAUCAGAAGCCAUAUGCCAUUUAAUUUAUCCAUUUCGGUGGCAGCAUGUCUACAUUCCAUUGCUGUUUUUCAGUGGAGUAGACUAUAUUGAUGCUCCUACGCCUUACAUGAUGGGCCUUCACUCUGGCGUGGAUACCUAUGGGCUUACGAUGGAUGGUGUAGUUAUUGUGGACCUUGAGCAUAAUCGCAUUACCACAACUGAGGAGAUUCCUCCCAUACCAGAGCCAGAAUAUAGUUCACUGCGUGGUGAGAUUAUGAAGUUGUUAUAUCCAAAUGUUGUUGGAAUAGACCAAAUGAAGGCUACUCGAGGAAAUGUCUCAGAUCAGUACCCACGAGGUGGCAACAGACCAUGGGGACAAGAACACGACCUCCAAAUUAGAUUUACAUUCUUAAAGUUCUUUGCAUCAAUACUUAGUGGCUACCGCAAUUUCAUAGAAAAUACUGCAACACAGGUCUUCAACUCUCAGGCUUUUCUGAAGAAGCGCUCUCGGUCAACAAACCAGCCACUUGAUCCAAUGAUAAGUCAGUUUUUAGAUUCCCAGGGUUUCUUAGAUUAUUUGGAGAGAGGUCUUGGUUCUGACGAAAACAAUAAUAAUCUCCUAGAUAAGUUGCAAGAUGCAAUUGGCAGGGGUCAAAAUCCUCUUUCAGUUCUUCCUUCACUUAUGGCAGAGGCAGAGAUCAUAACUAUAUCUGAUCCUGGUGUGGGAAUUUCAGGAUCAGGUGCCAAAUACUGUUAUGACAGGUUUCCUGCAAAUGUCAGAACAGAAGAGCAAGAGGAAAAGAGGAAGCAGAUUCUAGCAGCAGCAAGUGGAGCGCUUGAAUAUUCUGGAAGGCAUACUCCUAGUUCACUUUCAGUACUUGCUGGUAACGAUUCAAAGGCCGAAAGUCUAAGCCCCAGAGAGCGAGCUGCAGAGAGAGAACGUAUGGUUUUGGACAUAAAAGUUAAGCUUCAGGGAUUGUGGGUACGCCUUGUGAAUUUGGGACAAACUGAUGAUCCUCUUUCCUCCUUUGAAUAUGGAACCAUCCUUGCAUUGAUUGAGUCAGAUGCAGAAGGAAUUGGCGGUAGUGGCUUCGUUGAAUGUAUAAGAGAGCACAUUCAUUCAGGUUUGAACUGUCAAUUGUCAGAGGAGCAGUUUAUUGCAGUGAAAGAACUGCUGAAAACAGCAAUUAGUCGUGCUACAUCUAGGAAUGACAUGGCAACCGUCAGAGAUGCCCUGGAAGUUUCUGCAGAAAUGUACAAGAAGGACAUGAACAAUGUCUCAGACUAUGUUCAGCGACAUCUUCGUUCUCUUUCUAUCUGGGAGGAGCUACGUUUCUGGGAAGGAUACUUUGAUUGUCUACUGGACCGUUAUUCUAGCAAGUCAACCAAUUAUGCUACGUUGGUGACAACACAGCUCAUUGUUGUGGCUACUCACAUGGCUGGCCUUGGACUUCAUGACACUGAUGCAUGGUACAUGAUUGAAACAAUAGCUGGGAAAAAUAACAUUGGGUAUAAGCACAUUAUAAAACUCCGUGGAUAUUUGUCACAUGUCCGGCAUAUGUUUGUUGGUUACUGGGGAAUCCACUCAGUUAAGUUACAAUCCGCAACUACCUUGGGAUUGCCGUCCCCACGAGCACAGGAUGCAUCUGAUGAUGCUCAACAACCUGCUGAAGCAUCUGGUAUCGGAAGAAGCUGGGUACAGAGCAUGUUCACCAGGGAUACAUCAAUAAGAGCCAAGUCUUUCAGUCGCGUUGGCAAGUGGACCUCUGAUAAUAGCACUUUAGAUUCAAGCGAGAAUGGGACUCCUCGAAAACAAGAUCUGUCAGCAGCUGGACAAAAGAAACUGCAAACCAGCAUCCGUACUCUAAGGGGUCAUAAUGGGGCAGUUACCGCUCUACAUUGUGUGACGAAAAGAGAAGUGUGGGAUUUGGUUGGUGACCGAGAGGAUGCCGGUUUCUUUAUUAGUGGAAGCACAGACUGUACGGUUAAGAUCUGGGAUCCUAGCCUUCGUGGUGCUGAACUUAGGGCUACUCUGAAAGGGCACACAAGGACUGUAAGGGCAAUAAGUUCUGACCGAGGGAAGGUCGUAUCAGGAUCCGAUGAUCAUUCUAUUCUUGUAUGGGAUAAACAAACAACUCAACUACUUGAAGAGUUGAAGGGCCACAAUGCACAGGUCAGCUAUGUGCGCAUGCUUUCAGGUGAACGAGUCCUUACAGCUGCCCAUGAUGGGACUGUAAAGAUGUGGGAUGUAAGAACAGAUACUUGUGUUGCUACGGUAGGCCGCUGCUCCGGCGCUGUUCUUUGCAUGGAGUAUGACGACUCUACGGGAGUCUUAGCUGCUGCAGGCAGAGAUGCGGUUGCGAACAUUUGGGACGUUCGUGCUGGGAGGCAAAUGCACAAGCUUAUGGGACAUACGAAAUGGAUAAGAUCAAUUAGAAUGGUGGGAGACACGGUGAUUACAGGUAGUGAUGAUUGGACGGCACGAAUCUGGUCUGUUUCUAGAGGACAAUGUGAUGCAGUGCUAGCUUGCCAUGCUGGUCCAAUUCUAUGUGUGGAGUAUUCUUCAUCAGAUAAAGGGAUAAUAACAGGUUCAAGCGAUGGUCUCCUGCGGUUCUGGGAAAAUGAUGAUGGUGGCAUAAAGUGCAUUAAGAAUGUCACUAUCCAUACUGCUUCAAUAUUGUCCAUUGAUGCCGGGGAACACUGGUUAGGAGUAGGGGCAGCCGAUAAUUCAAUGUCCCUCUUUCACCGUCCUCAAGAGAGACUAGGUGGCUUCUCUAGUGCUGGUUCAAAGAUUGCUGGAUGGCAGCUCUACAGAACACCUCAGAAAACAGCUGCAAUGGUACGAUGUGUGGCCUCUGACCUUGAAAGGAAAAGGAUUUGUAGUGGUGGACGCAAUGGGUUGCUUCGACUGUGGGAUGCUACGAUAAACAUCUAGGUUUUUAUAAUUGUACUUGCCUUGACGGUUUCAGUGGAUGAUCAAGAAGGCUUGUGGUUGGGCUGGUGACCUCCGUCUCACGUGAUUGCAGUGAGCAAUGGAACUUCCAAGUUUCAUUGAAGAUCGAGGAACGUAGUGUCGGACAAUAUAAUUAUGUCAUCCAGAAAAAGUCUUCUCUCUGCUAGUUGAACUGUGUCCUGUAGACUUCCUUUUCCACUCAUUUGCUCUUUGAUCGUGAUACUAUUACUUAGGUUCCUAUAUUUUGAAUGGAUGGUGGAGCGUAGGUAAAACAACAAACAACAAGUCCAGUGAAAUUUUACAUGCGGGGUUUCGGGAGGGUAAUGUGUACGCAGACCUUAUCCCUACCUUAUGAAAGAGGUGAUGUUGUUUCAUA